AACGAUGAAGCUUCUAGCUUGCUAGAAUGCUGAUUAGUGGCGCACGGGUGAGUAACGCAUAGGUCAUGUGCCUCUUAGUUUGGGAUAGCCAUUGGAAACGAUGAUUAAUACCAGAUACUCCCUACGGGGGAAAGAUUUAUCGCUAAGAGAUCAGCCUAUGUCCUAUCAGCUUGUUGGUAAGGUAAUGGCUUACCAAGGCUAUGACGGGUAUCCGGCCUGAGAGGGUGAACGGACACACUGGAACUGAGACACGGUCCAGACUCCUACGGGAGGCAGCAGUAGGGAAUAUUGCUCAAUGGGGGAAACCCUGAAGCAGCAACGCCGCGUGGAGGAUGAAGGUUUUAGGAUUGUAAACUCCUUUUGUUAGAGAAGAUAAUGACGGUAUCUAACGAAUAAGCACCGGCUAACUCCGUGCCAGCAGCCGCGGUAAUACGGAGGGUGCAAGCGUUACUCGGAAUCACUGGGCGUAAAGAGCGCGUAGGCGGGAUAGUCAGUCAGGUGUGAAAUCCUAUGGCUUAACCAUAGAACUGCAUUUGAAACUACUAUUCUAGAGUGUGGGAGAGGUAGGUGGAAUUCUUGGUGUAGGGGUAAAAUCCGUAGAGAUCAAGAGGAAUACUCAUUGCGAAGGCGACCUGCUGGAACAUUACUGACGCUGAUUGCGCGAAAGCGUGGGGAGCAAACAGGAUUAGAUACCCUGGUAGUCCACGCCCUAAACGAUGGAUGCUAGUUGUUGGAGGGCUUAGUCUCUCCAGUAAUGCAGCUAACGCAUUAAGCAUCCCGCCUGGGGAGUACGGUCGCAAGAUUAAAACUCAAAGGAAUAGACGGGGACCCGCACAAGCGGUGGAGCAUGUGGUUUAAUUCGAAGAUACACGAAGAACCUUACCUAGGCUUGACAUUGAGAGAAUCCGCUAGAAAUAGUGGAGUGUCUGGCUUGCCAGACCUUGAAAACAGGUGCUGCACGGCUGUCGUCAGCUCGUGUCGUGAGAUGUUGGGUUAAGUCCCGCAACGAGCGCAACCCCCUUUCUUAGUUGCUAACAGGUUAUGCUGAGAACUCUAAGGAUACUGCCUCCGUAAGGAGGAGGAAGGUGGGGACGACGUCAAGUCAUCAUGGCCCUUACGCCUAGGGCUACACACGUGCUACAAUGGGGUGCACAAAGAGAAGCAAUACUGCGAAGUGGAGCCAAUCUUCAAAACAUCUCUCAGUUCGGAUUGUAGGCUGCAACUCGCCUGCAUGAAGCUGGAAUCGCUAGUAAUCG
rnacentral:rRNA from 1 species